UAUAACAAGAGAACACAUAAAGUGAAAGGUGGAAAUUCAUUUGGUGAAAACCAAAGGAUUUCCCCCACCAAAGAAAGUUAGCCCAGAAAAACAAUGAGGCAAAAAUAGAGAGUUUGGGAUUUUUAUUCAAAGGGUGGUUGCCCCUCUCUGUUUAGCCAAUGAUUUUCCUUUUUCAACUUUAAAAGAAAUCAAUAGCCCUUGAAUUAAUGGAAAUACGUACUACUGGUACAGUCAUUUCCUCAGCAUCAAUCAACAACAGCCAGAUUUCUCUUUCUCUGUCUCUAUUUCUGUGAUUUUAGUUCCUCUUUUUUGAUACAUUAACAAUUGAGGCAGUGAUGAUAUUUAAUCCGGAUUCUGGGCUAACUGGAUCGGGCAUAGAGACUAUCCGACCCGUAUCUUGGCCUGGCGAAUCACCGGACGGCCGGCGAUCCGAAGGUUUUUCCUUUGCAUGCAACCGGUGAUUUUGCAGCAAUGGCGCGGUCGCCUCUCUUUUGCCUGAUCUCUCUUUGCAGAUCUGAGCCUCGUAACUACUGUGAAAUAGAAAAAUCUAAAACUUAUUCUUCUUUGAAUUUCAACUGCUUUUUGCUCCUAAACAUGGAAUCAAGUUGUACGUCUGUGGGCAAAACGAGAAUUGUUGACGCUUUAAAUAGUUUUCUUUGACACAAAGCAGAAAGAGACAGUGAAUGAGGGUUGCGGAGAGUAGAGGGGAAGCUCAAAGGGCAGCUGCUCCUCUCUACAAUACCUAUGAUUUCAUUUUUGCCAAAAAUGCCCUUCUGUAGUAAACUAUGUCCAAACGACCACUCUACUGUAUCUCCAAAUCAUCACUCCCAAAAGGAGAAUCAAUAGUAGUAAUAAUAAUAAUAAUUUUAGCAAAAUUCUGAGGCUGUGAUGAUAAUUUUUCUUCUGUCUCUGCAAAUUGAUUAGGGCAGGAGACCAAUCGGACCCGUAUCUUGGCGAGGCGACCUGGACGGUGAUGACUUGCAACCGGUGUUUGCAGCCAUGGCGGUGUCUCCAAUCUCUUGCCCUAUCUUCAAAUAUUACGGAUCUGAGCCUCAAUUGGAAAGUUAUUUUCUUAAAUGCAGACUUAUGAGCUCUUUUACGUUAAAUUUUGAAAUUCACAGGUGAAAAACCCAUGAGAAUUUCCCCUAAAAAUGCAAAAAGGUUAGCCCAGAAAGAAAUGAGGCAAAACAGAGAGAAUUGGGAUUUUCAAUUUGAAGGGUGGUUGCCCCUCUCUGUCCCGCCAUUGAUUUUCCUCCAUUAAAAAAAAAACACAGAAAAAACAGCCCUUGUUUAUGAUACAAUCGAAAUCAGAUAACAAUUGAAUUUGUAAUUGAUUUUAAGGAUACACAGAUUAAUUUGACACAAAUACCAUUUUCUAAGUGUUUUUCACUUUUUUUUGGAAUUUUACAAUUCUUAUGUCCAAACGCCCACAAAGUGACACAUAAGGAAAUUCAUUUUGUGUGAAACCAAAGGAUUUCCGGCAAAGAAAAGUUAGCCCAGACAAGAAAGAAAAAAUGAGGCAAAAACAAAGAGCUUGGGAUUUUUAUUCAAAGGGUGGUUGCCCCUCUCUGUUUAGCCAAUGAUUUUCCUUUUUCCACUUAAAAAAAAAUUAACAGCCCUUGAAUUUCCUGGAAAUACGUACUACUAUACAGUCAUUUCUUCAGCAUCAAUCAACAACAACAACCAGAUCUCUCUUUCUCUGUCUCUGAUUCUGUGAUUUUAGUUCCUCUUUUUUGAUACAUAACAACUGAGGCAGUGAUGAUAUUUUAUCCGGAUUCUGGGCUAACUGGGUCGGGCAUAGAGACUAUCUGACCCGUAACUUGGCUUGGCAAAUCACCAGACGGUUAGCUGACGAUUUGGAGGCUUUUUCUUUGAUGCAACCGGUGAUUUUGCAGCCAUGGCGCGGUCGACUCUCUUUUGCCCGAUCUCUCUUUGCAGGUCUGAGCCUCGUAAGUACUGUGAAAUAGAAAAAUCUAAAACUUAUUCUUCUUUGAAUUUGUACUACUUUUUGCUCCUAAGCAUGGAAUCAAGUUGUACGUCAGUGGGCGAAACAAGAAUUGUUGAUGCUUUAAAUGGUUCUCUUUGACGCGAAGUAGGAAGUUAAAAGCUCAGAGACAAAAAAUGAGGGUUGCAGAAAGUAGAGGGAAGCUCAAAGGGCAGCUGCUCCUCUCUACAAUACCUAUGAUUUAAUUUUUGCCGUAAAUGCCCUUCUGCAGUAAACUAUGUCCAAACGACCACUCUACUGUAUCUCCAAAUCCUCACUCCCAAAAAGAUAAUCAGUAGUAGUAAUAAUAAUAAUAAUUGUAGCAAAAAUCUGAGGCUGUGAUGAUAAUUUUUUCUUCUGUCUCUGAGCAAAUUGAUUAGGGCAGGAGAACAAUCGGACCCGUAUCUUGGCGGGACGACCCGAACGGUGACGACUUGCAACCGGUGUUUGCAGCCAUGGCGGUGUCUCCAAUCUCUUGCCUUGCCCUGCCUUCAAUAUUACAGGUCUGAGCCUCAGUUGGAAAGGUGAAAAAGGCACGAGAAUUUCCAAUGCAAAAUGGUUAGCCAGAAAGAAAUGAGGCAAAACAGAGAGUAUUGGGAUUUUCAUUUGAAGGGUGGUUGCCCCUCUCUGUUCCGCCAAUGAUUUUCCUCCUUUUUCAAAAAAAACCAACAGCCCUUGUUUAUGACAAAAGCAGACAGCGUUUGGACAUAAGAAUUGUAAAAUUCCGGAAAAAGUAAAAAGAUUUCCCGGUGAAAUCUGUAUUUACUUUGUGUGUGUGUGUGUGUGCGCGCGCGCUUAUUUUGCUGAUGGAAGUUACAUAAAGAGGCAGCAUGAUGAUGCUUGUAUCUGGGCUAACUGAUUUGGGCAUAGAGAUGACCCAAUCCGUAUCUUGGCGUGGCAACCCGGUAUGGCAUGUGCUGUCUCUCACUUGCAACUGGUGUUUUGCAGCCAUGGCGUAGCUGACUUCUCUUUGCCUUAUCAUAACACAUUCAUGAUAAGCCUACUAUAGCAUGGACCAAGUUGUGAAUAAACACACACCAGAAGGCAAAACAAGAUUAUCGAUGCUUUAAAUGGUUCUGUUUGACUCAAAGCAGAAAACUAAAACCUCAGAGACAAAGAAUGAGGUUUGCUGAGAGUAGAGUGAAGCUCAAGGGCAGCCGCUCCUCUCUACAAUUCCUAUGAUUUCAUUUUUGCCAAAAAUGCCCUUCUGGCUUCUGCAGUAUACUCUGACCAAACGACCCCUCUACUGUAUCUCCAAAUCCUUACUCCCAAAAAGAGAAUCAAUAGUAGUAAUAAUAAUAAUAAUUGUAGCAAAAAUAUGAGGCUAUGAUGAUGAUUUUUUCUUCUGUCUCUGAGCAAAUUGAUUAGGGCAAGAAACAAUCGGACCUGUAACUUGGCGGGGCAACCCGGACGGUGACGUCUUGCAACCGGUGUUUGCAGCCAUGGCGGUGUCUCCGGUCUCUUGUCUUGUCUUCAAUAUUACAGAUCUGAGCCUCAAUUGGAAGGUUAUUUUCUUAAGUGCAAACUUAGUUAAAUUUUGAAAUUCGUAGGUGAAAAACCCUUGAGAGUUUCCCCUAAAAAUGCAAAAAGGUUUGCCCAGAAAGAAAUGAGGCAAAACAGAGAGUAUUGGGAUUUUCAUUAGAAGGGUGGUUGCCCCUCCCUAUUCCACCAUUGAUUUUCCUCCAUUUUCAAUAAAAAACCAACAGCCCUUGUAUAUGACAAAAGCAGAAGCAGACAGGAUUUAAGUGGACGUUUGGACAUAAAAAUUGUGAAAUUCCCGAAAAAAGUAAUUUUUUCCCCAGUGAAAUCUGCGUUUACUUUGUGUGUGUGUGUUGCUGAUGGAAGUUACAUAAAGAGGCAGUGAUGAUAAUGUUUCUUGUAUCUGGGCCAACCGAUUUGGGCAUAGAGAUGUUCCAACCCGUAUCUUGGCGUGGCAACCCGCUAUGGCUUGUGAUUGAGAUUUCUGUAUCUCAUUUGCAACUGGUGUUUUGCAGCCAUGGCGUAGCUGGCUUCUCUUUGCCUUAUCAUAGCUCAUCUGAGCCCCAUUUUCUGAAAAGAUAAAAAUAUAGAUACAUCUUUUCUAUGAUGUGGAUUAAUUGGAAAAUAAGAAGGGGAGCCUCGGAGCAACAGUAAAGUUGUCUUCAGCCACUAAUACUUGCAUUAGAGGAUGCUGUCUAUAUCACACCCUAUCACACCCCUGUGUGAACACGGGGUGCACAAGCACGGGAUGCCUUGUGCACCAGGCUGUCAUUGGAUUAACAGGGAAUUAGAAAAAAACUCAUUAGUUCAAUUCUGAGGUUGCGGUCUAGGCAGAGAGCUGUACGGAGUUUCAUUGGGUGGUUUUGCCCCUCUUUGUGAUUGUCUGCCGUCGAUGAUCACUCAAAUGUCCGCUUUUGGUGAAAAUACGUAUUACUCCCUCCCUUUGACGCAAUGAGGCUAUGAAGAUUUUAUUCUUAAUCAGACUUAUAAAUCUAUUGAGCUGGGAUAAAUUGUAAUUUUGGCGUGGCAGCUCAGAUGGGUCUUUGAGAUAUUGGAGAAAGAUCCAUUUUUGUGUGUGUGUUUUCCUGUUUCCUAAGACUAACUGAGGCUUGCAGCCAUGACCGUCUUUAUCCAAAGCUUUUUGGGCUUUUGUCAGAGAAAAGGAGAAGAAUGAGGCAACAGGAGAGAUUGGGAUUUUCUGUAAAAAGGGUGGUUGCCCCUCUCUGUUAUGCCUACGAUUUCUCCAUUGUAAAUCAACAGCCCUUUGAAUUAAACC